AAGGGGAAGCUUUGCAGCAUUUAAGGCUUUGUCCUGACCUUGGGUGUCUGGGUGCAGUGCCAGGUCACGGUCCUGACGGAAGCACCUCCCGUGGAAGUGAGGCCCACUGUUGGCAGUGAGCAAGUUGGACAUCUCAAGAUUUUCAACUGCUCCUGUCCUCCUGGACAAAAGGGGGAGAGGGGUCCACUUGGCUUUGAAGGUCCCAAGGGUCAAAAGGGAGAAAGAGGCAUCCCAGGGCUUCCUGGACUCCGAGGAGAAAAAGGAGAGUCAGUAAGUAAGAAAUACCCAAUGAUUUUGCUAAAGGAGAUGAAAAUGUGAGCAGUUGUU
rnacentral:lncRNA from 1 species